GUUGCUGGAGCGAACUUCUUUAAUGUCGGUUUUAAGGUGGAAUUUCAAACCAAAUAUGGACAGGGCAAUGAGUUCCAUGGAGAAUGGCCAUAUUAUUCUGGCAAAUGGUUCUGAACUGGCUUUAGUGUCCCUAUUAGCCAGUGAAAAUGAUUUCAGAAUUCCAGAAUCUUUGCCGUCUCUUCAUGAUGAAGUGCUCGCAGCUGCAGCAGAUGCUGCCAUGAAAUUCUCCACUCAGAAGAAGAAACAGGGUGGGGGGCCAAAUAUUUUAGGUACUCUAGUUAAAGGAUUUAAAGCAGGAAAAACAAAUCAAAAUAUGGAUUUCAGUCAGAUGACGCAGUCAAACUUUAGUCAUCUGGAAGGUGUUUUUAUGAAGAACCCACUCCACUCAGAACUGUCCCCAACUAAGGAAGUUCUAGAAGAACUGGAGCUCGAUAUAGAUGAUAUUGAAAUCGAUGACCCUGUCCCUGUGGCUUCUA
rnacentral:misc_RNA from 1 species